rnacentral:rRNA from 1 species
AUGGCGGACGCCUACUCCUGGUCCUCCAAGCGGAGUUACAAGACCGACUACGUCUGGCACGACCUCACCACCGACGACCCCGUGCACCCCGCCAACGGCGUCGAGUACGUGCUCAAGGGCCCCAAGCUGCUCCACCUCCUCCAUGUACUUGAUUUUGCGCGACAUCUCCGCCGACGCAUCCUUGUCCUCCUUCACCUCCAGCUGCCAGGCCGGGAACGAGAAGAAGAUGCCUACAUCGGCCAUUAG